rnacentral:rRNA from 1 species
UACGGAGGGUGCAAGCGUUGUCCGGAUUUAUUGGGUUUAAAGGGUGCGUAGGCGGCCUUUUAAGUCAGCGGUGAAAGCCCGGGGCUCAACCCCGGAACCGCCGUUGAUACUGGGAGGCUUGAGUACAGACGAGGUAGGCGGAAUUGAGGGUGUAGCGGUGAAAUGCUUAGAUACCCUCAAGAACACCGAUUGCGUAGGCAGCUUACUAGGCUGUAACUGACGCUGAGGCACGAAAGCGUGGGGAG